rnacentral:lncRNA from 1 species
UUAAUUAAGAGGCUGCCACCUCUUGUUUUGUUUCAAAAACGUUGCAAAGUUUCAUUGGAGGAGAGGGGAGGUGGCAGCCCCUUUUCUUCAUUUAAAUGGACAAGCAAGUGGAGAAAUGGAGGGGGAUGGUUUUUGGGACGGAAAAUCUCUGCACCCCAAGUCCCAAUCCAAAAUAAAGAAGAAAAGAAAAUUAUUACAACAAGUUACAAACACGAUAAAAUUAUUACAACAAGUUGCAAACACGAGCUAAACCUAAGUACAACCGAUUCUACCGUCAUUCACUUUGUCGUCAUUCGCAAGG